AUGGCACCGCUGAGAGGCUGGCACUGCAGGCCAGGCCUCAACGCGCCAGUGAGUGAACUCAGAGAAGUUUGGAGGCUUGUCCCUAACCACGUGCCAGCUCUUUGGUGCCCCCGAGGCAGAACCACGUCAGGAGCGCAGCCAGUCAUCCCUCAGACCGCCGCCAUGGUUGAGACUAGCAUAAGGAUGCACAUGUGUUCAGCAGAAGCCUUACAAUGGACAGUCGGAUGCAUCAGAAUGGAGAUAUCCUCUCAGAGGCCUGUAGGGCACUGGCCUGACAUACCUGAUACAUGACUGACCUCCAGGAAACUGGUGCAGGGAUGGUGCCUUCCUCCCUAAAAUGUGGUGUCACACCUGCAGGAGAGCUCUCUCCUGCAUUAGAGUACCAC
rnacentral:lncRNA from 1 species